UACGAAGGGGGCAAGCGUUGUUCGGAAUUACUGGGCGUAAAGGGCGUGUAGGUGGUUCUGUAUGUCUACCGUGAAAGCGUACGGCUCAACCGUAUUUAGUCGGUAGAAACUGCAGGACUUGAAGCUGGGAGGGGCUGGUGGAAUUCCCCGUGUAGCGGUGAAAUGCGUAGAGAUGGGGGAGAACACUCGUGGCGAAGGCGGCCAGCUAGACCAGUUCUGACACUGAGGCGCGACAGCGUGGGGAGCAAACAGG
rnacentral:rRNA from 1 species